UCUUGUACUGGAGGGGAAGUGGGGAUGACGUCAAAUCAUCAUGCCCCUUAUGACCUGGGCUACACACGUGCUACAAUGGAUGGUACAAAGGGCUGCAAGACCGCGAGGUCAAGCCAAUCCCAUAAAACCAUUCUCAGUUCGGAUUGUAGGCUGCAACUCGCCUACAUGAAGCUGGAAUCGCUAGUAAUCGCGGAUCAGCAUGCCGCGGUGAAUACGUUCCCGGGCCUUGUACACACCGCCCGUCACACCACGAGAGUUUGUAACACCCGAAGUCGGUGGAGUAACCGUAAGGAGCUAGCCGCCUAAGGUGGGACAGAUGAUUGGGG
rnacentral:rRNA from 2 species